rnacentral:Y_RNA from 1 species
GACUGGUCCAAAGGCAGUGAGUUAUCUCAAUGGGCUGUUUGCAGUCAGUCACAGAUGUGACUCCUUGUUCUACUCUUCCCCCUGCCCCCGUUCUCACUAUUGUACUUCACACGUCUUCC